UCUUCGGAUCGUAAAACCCUGUCGUCGGGGACGAAGGUUGCGAGUUUAAGAGAUGCGCAGCUUGACGGUACCCGGAGAGGAAGCCCCGGCUAACUCUGUGC
rnacentral:rRNA from 1 species